CCAACAAAAAUGAAAGAAGGAAGAUGUUCCAGCACAGACGUGUUUAUAGACACGGAUGUGCAUACAAUUCUUCGAGUGAAGGUUUGAGUGGAAAAGAAAAGGACAGAUGUCAUGUAGGCUGCGCCAAUAAAUCUGUGGUCCAAUAUUUCCCCAGACAGCAUACCUAUGAACGCCAUUACCCAAAUCUAAAGUGCGGGCAUUAGACUUGAAAAUACGGUCUGCAACAAAAAUUGUGUGGUACAUGCAGAUAGCUUGAGAAUUGUAUGUUCAAACAGAAUGCAAAUACAGACAAGCCAAAUCCUCUGGACAACCCCCAAGACCGCCCAAACGGAAGAAAUAACGCCCACACAUAGACUCGUGCUGUUACUUUGCUUUCAGAAAAAGUAGCUCACGGGGUGUGCUGGAUGCGCAGCCUCAAUGAAUCCCAGGUGGGACCAUCCAGAACUCCCGGAUGCUAAGAGAAAGAUAUUCAUCUGGUAAUAGAUGCAGCCAACAGGAUCCACUGAACAGUUAGUUAAGUUGCAAAGACAAAACCUACCUCUGAUUCUGAACUUCAUCAACUUGGCCAUAAAAAGACUUUGGUAUCCAGGAUAAGGAUUCCAAUAUUCUGUGAAACGGGAGACGCAGGGUUGGGGAUUAGUCGAAUUGGGAGUUUAGAGGAAGGUAGCGUAUGCAAAUUAAAGAUAAGUCGUUGCUGAUUGAUUCCAAGAACCAAGAAAACCUCCUAAAUGUGGCAACUCCAGAACAAAACGAGUCACUAGACUGUUUUCUAAGAAGUCAGAAAAUCAAACCAAUCUUCUUUACCCACUUUCUUUCUCAAUCUUAACUUUCAUCAUCUUUCCUGAAUAUGUAAAAGUUAAAAGACUGAAUAUCUAGAUGCAAGAGUGAUGGGGAAAGAAUAAAUAGUGCUACAUUAAGGGAGGAAAAAAAAAAAAACACUUUCCUUUCCCCAUUUUUUUCUUUUGCUUGUAAAACUCUCUGCAGCAUAUACUAUACUAUUAACUGGAGUUUGCUGAAAGUUUUAAUGCUUAAUUUAAUAGCAAAAGACAUUUUCUUGACUGCUUUCUGGUUUAUGCUGUUCAUCUGGGAGAAAAUCCAGGUGGCACAUUUAAAUCUAGUGGAAAUGUAAUUCAGUAAAUUUUUCCAGUGCAAAUGGGUUUAAGAUAGACAGAUCAUGAGAAAGCAGGUACUUUUAUUUGAAAAUAAAAGUUCAAUUCUGUUAACACCUAAUGCCUGGCAUAGGGAAGGUGAACAACAAAUGAUUGUUGAAUAUAAUUGAAAGGAUCAAUAUAAUAAAGCUAAAAGGAUAUCGAUCAAUUUUGAACUUCAAAAAUGAUUUCAACUAGUGUGCAGAGAAGGACAUAAAAUUAGUAAAUGCUAAAGACAAUCAUCUCCAUGCAAGUUCUGGAAUGAUGCCAAUAUUAUGAUGUUAUCUGUCAAAAGGUAAACAAGUAUAUAUUCUUUAUAGAUUCAUGUUGGUGUUUGGUCACCAGCAUUAUAAAAAUGUGACUGAUUCAGGUAUUUCUAGUGCAUUUUGAAAUUAGUAUAAAAAGCAAAGUCUGAUAGCUCAUAGGAAUUAACGAAUCUCAAAUAUUGAGAAAGGAAUAUUUCAUUAAAGGAAAACUCUCUAAAUCUGUCUUGGUUAUUUGUACCUUGUCUGGUAGGCACUUUAAAUAUCUACUUUAAUUCUUCAUUGGUAUGCCAAUGUAUUUUUUCAUGUAUCUUUCCUAGAAGAUGUCAUUCCCCUAUCUUCAUUCAGAGAGAUGCUGACAGAUAUUUCCAAAGGAUUGUAUAGAAUGCAAAAGGCAUUUACCUAGUCUAGUUUAAUGGAAACAAAAUGAACUUAGUGUAUUUAGUUUUUAAAAUUUUUUUUUUCUUAUAAGACAUGAUGAAACCAAGGCGCAGAGCAUUUCCAAUGUUGAUAGAUCCAGUUUGAAAAAAGCUUACCCUAUAAAUCAAACAAUUCUGGGGGCAAACCCAUGUUGUUUUUAAACCACAGAGUGGGUCAAUGGGUGUGGUUCUGCACAUCUUUGAAUGGUGAAUGUAUAGAUUAAAAUACAUUUUGCCACACUGGUUUCCAGAGGAUUGUUUUGGCCCAGUAUUCCAAUACCAUGAGCCAAAACUUUGGUCAGUAUUUUGACAACAGAGCCAGGAAAAACAAAAAAGGCUUAGCCUGUAAAAAAGAAAUGAAGAUGUAGUGAAGGAAAACAGUAGUCUCUCUGCCACUGCCUUACUCAAUCCAUAUGUGGGCUUAAACACAGGAAAUACCCACCAUUCACCGCAAUCAAGCCAGAGGCCUGUGCAUCAGAAAGUGCCUUGUGGAACUAAUUGGAAUCUAUUAAGAUUGUCAUUGACAUGGGAAAGCAUUUUGAAAUUUUAAAUCAGAACAUGCAACGUCCAAAGAAGAAGAUAACGUGGACGUUGUUGAUUCAUGAAUGCAGAUGUAGACACAGUACACUUAUUCACAUUAAAGGUUUAGUAUAUGUUUAAUCAUGUGAUACACUGUGUUAAUUUUAAUUCAGCAGCAUGUUGGCAUUCCAUAACUUUAUGUGUUUGCUUUAAAUCUUAGAUCUUUCCAGGGUCAAUGAAUUUCACUGGGUCUCCUCUGGUACUAUUUGAUAGCUAGAAAAGAUCCAAGAAUUAUCAGUUUACAAAGGUAAUCAACCAAGUUCAUUACACUUUUUAUAAAAGCAAAAUUUACUGAAACAAACAACCCCCUAAACCAAACUGUUUAGAAUAAUAGAACUUAGAGCAAACUCACAUUUUUUGAUCCAUAAUUGUUGGGAGAAGAAACACAUAUAUGUAGGCAUUCACACAUAUAAGCACACAAUUCCAAUCUCAAACCUUGCCAAUAGAUCUUUGAGAGACUUUAUAUGUCAGCAUUUCCAUUACAGAUAACUUAAGCAUGCCCUCUUUUCACCACUAUACUGGGUAUAUUGGGAAUUUGUGUUUUCUUACUUCUUCAAACUACAGUCUAAUUUAGUAACCUCUGAUUGGUUAUGACAAAGAUUCCAAUGUUCUGGUUGCCAAUCACUUUAGAUUUAUAGAUUAUUCUCACUUAUGUGUAAUAUUCCCUGAUGUAAAACUCAGUAUAUAGUUUACUAUAUAUUUAUAGUUUUACCACUUACACUGAGGACAUGCCAUAUUUCAUCAACCUACAGAGUUGAGAUGUCAUUAAAAGGUGUCAACAUCAGAUUUAGUAGAUUUUUUAUAUGAAAAAAGACAAUUGCAAUAACCACAAGUUACUGAUAAAUGUACCCCAUUUUCUCAAUAUGUCAAAAUAUUGAAUGUAUAUCCAUUUAAUCGUCAUGGUUUUUACUUUGUGGGUUUCAAAAUAUCUUCUUUGUUAGGGGUUACUUCUGUGCUCAUUCCACAUUUCUCCAAUUUCACAAACAAAAUAAUUGUAACUAGGGAGGUGUGUAAUUUGUGUUCAUGAAACUCAGAUUUACCAUGAAGAUAUCUCCUAGGGAAAGGAAAGUAUCUAUGGAUGUCUUUGUCAUAUUUUUAUUGAAUUGCUCCAUUUAUUCCUAUACCUUCCAAAUUAUACAGUCUUGAACUUUUGGCAUAAGUAUUUAACUGAUCAACAAUAAAAGACUGGCUACACUA